AAAAAACUCUCAGUCCCUAAAUUUCAAACCACGGGUUUUACUCCUCACAGCUCAGCUGAGCUCCCUCUCCAGUCUCCUCACCUUAGCCUCUCACUCUUAUCUCUUGCCGCCUUCCACCACCGACCAGAUUUAGUACACAGGUUUUUCUUGUCUUAAUUCGAAGAUUUGUAGAUGCGGGAAGGUGAGGAGAAACCAACAAGAGAACAGCUGGAGGAGGUCAGUAAGAAUGAAUUUUAGGGUUUGGGUGAUAGAUUUCUCAUCACGCUGUUUAAUGUUGUAGGUGGAGAAAUUGUAGCAUGAAUUAAAUAAGGAGUUGCAACUGAACAAAAUUUCGAAUUGUGCAUAGGGAUGGGUCAAUUCACUCCUGUUCAUGUGUUUCCUUGUUACUCCCACAAAAGGUACUCGUGUUAAUUCCUUUAUGAGUGUUAUCUAUUUUCCUUGAAAAUUGUUGCUUAUCUGUGUGAAAGAGAAGAGUUACGUGACCAUAAUGUAUUCAAUUAAUUCAACGCAAUAUAAUUUUCGAAGCCCUAACAAUCACUUAGUUAUAAUGCUAAUGGAAGCCAAUUUUUCCUUUCCAUAGUACUAAAGCCGUUUUAACAACUAGAAGCUUUUUCACUCCGAGAGUCAUCUGAGGUUGGGGAAUCUUGGAAAGUUGAAAUAGGAUCAGAAAGAGAGUUAAUUUCUCUCCGAGAUAUCUCAUGCUGCUUUUUAGUUUCAACUCACCUGUUUUAUUUCCAACACCAUGACCUAACUCUUUCUUUCCCAUUACUUCGAGCGAUGGGGAUUUUUUUUCUUACAGCUGUAGACUUAAUGCAUACAAAUGGAAGUUGGAGCAUGUUGGGCAAAUUGUUGUCAAACGACCUCCCAGGCUAUGAUGUUAAUUCAAAUUAAUUCCCAAUCGGCUUUGGCAAAUGACUGAAUGGAAAAUAUAGCACCACAAUCGAAAUGACCCGACUCGAAGGUUAAUUGGGCCAUUUGAAGCAAACUAAAUUUUUAGUGUUGCUCAUGGCCCAACUCACUUGCUUGGAUGGCCAAAAUGAGAGAAGCCCACGUAGUAGCCCAUUUAUCUAAUGCUUGGGCCUUACUUGACCAAUUAGUUACCAUAUUGUAACUUCUUUACUUGGCCUCAUAUGCUUGAAUAUAUUUGGGCCGUGUUCUCUUCUCUUGAGGAAAAACUGUGUGCUUCCUUCUUUGUGAAAUUUUCGAUCUUCUGCUUCUCUGCUUGUCGCCUUCUCUCUUCACCUCUGCCUUUGUGGUAAUUGUUAUUGAGUUAUUGCCUACCUUUUGUUGUCUUCUAUGUAGAUAAUCUUUUGGCAAUUGUAAAUGGGAAGAACUUGACAUUGUCUUGGGUCGAUUGGUUUUUUUAUUGUGGUGAAAUUGGAAGGAUAAACUAAGCUUGGCAAACACCUUGGUGGUCAAUACAUUCUUCACAUUUGGUAUCAGAGCUUGCCAAAAGUCCUGCCAAAAGUUGAGAGAGAGAGUGUCGAAUCCUUUUUCCAACUGGAUUCGAAAUCUUUCAAUUUCUCCCAAACCCAGCCUCCGUUGGACAAAUGGAAGUCGGACCCAUAAUCAAUAGAUCGAGGCUCCCCCUUUGAGGUGGCGCGUGGAGUUUUUCGACGAGAUUUUUUCAGGCAUUUUGUCUAUUUUAAUAUCCUGAACGUACUGAUGCGGUUUAUUUAGUGUUUCAGGUUACGCAGGAAAACUUGGACGAUUUUACCCCUGGAUAUAAAUCUGUGUUUGUGGCUGAUGGGUAUUAGUAUAUUUGAUGAAUCUUUAGGGUGGAUAGUGGUGACCCCAAAGCAGUAAAUUUGCAUCUCUUGACUUUCCGGACUCAAAUAGUAGUGUCCCGUUUAAUAGCAUUAGCACGUCACCAUGCAGGGCGAUAGUAGGGUUGUGGUUACUGUGAGGGAUAACAUUGCUUGUGUUAGAAAUUAUGAUUACUUACUUUUAACUGUUUGAUUGAGUACUUGUUCUUGUUAAAUCAGAAUAUUGUUUUGUGUGCCAUAAUUGUCAUGAAAUUUGGUAUCUGUUAGAUAUAUCUAAUUUUUUGCUGUAUUGUUAUCUCCACUACUUACUAAUUCCGUUAGAAUAGUCAAAUUUACCCGUUUGAACAUUCCUUUGAUUUAAG
rnacentral:lncRNA from 1 species